rnacentral:rRNA from 1 species
GACGAACGCUGGCGGCGUGCUUAACACAUGCAAGUCGAACGGAAAGGCCCUGCCUUUGUGGGGUGCUCGAGUGGCGAACGGGUGAGUAACACGUGAGUAACCUGCCCUUGACUCUGGGAUAACUUCAGGAAACUGGGGCUAAUACCGGAUAGGAUCUCCUGCUGCAUGGUGGGGGUUGGAAAGUUUCGGCGGUUGGGGAUGGACUCGCGGCUUACCAGCUUGUUGGUGGGGUAGUGGCUUACCAAGGCUUUGACGGGUAGCCGGCCUGAGAGGGUGACCGGCCACAUUGGGACUGGGAUACGGGCCAGACUCCUACGGGAGGCAGCAGUGGGGAAUAGUGCACAAUGGGCGGAAGGCUGAUGCAGCAACGCCGCGUGCGGGAUGACGGCCUUCGGGUUGUAAACCGCUUUCGCCUGUGACGAAGCGUGAGUGACGGUAAUGGGUAAAGAAGCACCGGCUAACUACGUG